rnacentral:rRNA from 1 species
CGAGGGGUCCAAGCGUUGUUCGGAAUCAUUGGGCGUAAAGCGAGUGCGGGUGGCUUCUUAAGUCAGGAGUGAAAGCCCAGGGCUUAACUCUGGAAGUGCUUUUGAUACUGGGAAGCUUGAGUGUGGGAGAGGGUGCUAGAAUACCUAAUGUAGUGGUGAAAUACGUAGAUAUUAGGUGGAACACCGGUGGCGAAGGCGGGCACCUGGCCCAACACUGACACUUAGACUCGAAAGCGUGGGGAUCAAACAGGAUUAGAUACCCUGGUAGUCCACGCCGUAAACGAUGGAUACUUGGUGUUGGAGGUAUUGACCCCUUCAGUGCCGAAGCUAACGCGUUAAGUAUCCCGCCUGGGAAGUACGGUCGCAAGAUUAA